UGGCUGGUUUGCAACACAGGAUGAUACUCCCAAGAACAGGAGAUUAUAAAAGGACAGUCCGGCAGCGCCGGACAGGCGGGAGACUCUGGCAGCGCCGGACAGGCGGGAGACUCUGGCAGCGCCGGAGUGAAGGGCGGCUCUGGCAGCUCCGGAGUGAAGGGAGAACCUGGAGGGAGGAGACGGAGAGACAGCCUGGUGCGUGGGGCUGCCACAUGACCAACCAGGGGAGACCUUGCAAUAAUAGGAGUGAUCAUGCAUGCAGCAAAUGACAUGCAUUCAAGUGAUGGGGUAAAAAAAAAUUACGUACAGCAUCAGUUGGGAGGAGAUGAAGAGGCAUACAGAUGGGCCAGAGAGGAUGUCAGCCACAGCCCUCUGCAUCUACCUGCGGGUAUGUGAGGACCUGGCAAUGGUGUGUGUGCAAGUUGGCCUGUGGAUCGCUCUGUGAAAACAGCAAAAGUAUGCUCUUGCACAGAGCAAUGAUCGAGGCAGCUGGCACCCCAUGGCCAUGAGCUUCUCUAAGCGGGACGGAAUAGAGAGGGAAGCCGUAGUUGGGGAGGCCAUUUGUGGCGUCCAUGAAGACCGUGACCUUAUCAUAGGCCAUGACGUUUUUCCUAAUUUCUUUUGUCAUCAGCACAAGGGCAAGGUUUUUGUUGUCGCUGUAUUGUUCAUGAAAUAGUUUCCACUGUGAUUUUUCUGAGACAUUGAUGGCAUCAUUUCUGGCCAUUUGUUGUCUCUGCAUCAUGGUGUUCCUGAUGUUUUGUAUGUCCCCUGGUGUCAAAGUACUCUCCCGUGUUCCAGUCACUUCCCACGUGCCUUGGCCCAAUUCUGUGCAAGUACCAGCAUCAUUGACGGUGUUACCCCCAAUACGCAGCCAGCUCUGCAGGUGGGUACGUAGCCAGCUCUCUUUCCUUCCUCAGGGUUGGGUGGAUCUGGCUGCAGUGUUGGUCUUGGGGAUCUGAGGGAUCAUGACUGUUGUGGAUGUCAUACAGCCUUUCUAUAACAACCAUGAAGUCUGUCCUGGACUGCAGAGUGAAGGAGAUAUAGGCGUUCCAUCCCACUCUUCUGAAACCUUUGCCAGUUUCAGAACAUCCUCUUGUACACUUGAAAAGGAAAUAGUUACCAGCCCUGGAAAGAAAGACAUGGCAGCCAAUAUAGUUCAAUAGUACCGUCACAGGAAACAACACAGCAAAACAGCUGCCUGCUGUCAGUUAUGCCUUUUAUUUCAAAAUGAAGACAUGGACAUGGAGCCAUGAUCCUAGAUCAGCACAUCUACUCUGCAAUGCUUUAUGAAGAAAGGACAAGAAUAUCACCUAAUUGCAUUUACAUCAUUGAUACCAACGAUUACAAAAUCCUGCAUGUCCUGUCCAAUUCUUUCGGAUAAACAUGAAGUGACUACGGGGUAGGGGUUGUUUCUGGACUGGGAUAUGAUGUGGACAAUUACAGUUUUAGCUAGGCAUAUUGUGAGGAGCAUACAGUGGGGGAGAUCAACUCAGGUCGCGCCCCUGACGUCUCGUGCUACACUCAGUAGUGUCUUAGGGUAGUCAUUUGAGGGUGUACUGACAUCUGAGCAGUGAGAGCUGUGCCUUGUCGGGAGGGGUGCAAUAAUGUAUGCUGCGAUAGCUCAUAUCUUGUCUGAGUGGCUGGGGAAGUUUGUUUUAUCUUGUUUACUGUGUGGUCAUGUGCUCCAACUAACCCACUCCUUCCUCUUUCUGCCAGAGGGCCUGAGGCCUUAGGACCACAUCUGAGCGCUGCUACUGCCUCCUUUUGGAUCUGCCUUCCUCUUUCCCCGCAACCAUCGGGACGCUAAACUACAACACCACCACAUAUGGGUGGCCCUUAUUCUGACGGCAAACCCUAUUCUCACGUACCUUCCUUUCUUUACUUUAUGAAAAGCCAUCUGACCAUAACUGUUUUGGUAGUUUUGUUAACUGUUUGGAGUGCAUAGGUUCUCACAAUUUGCCAAACCCAUUGAGAAAAUUGUAACAAACUUGUUUUUGACCACAUUCAGGCUCACCUUUUUGUUUAUUUUGUGUGUGGCGUUUUGGAAACUAUCAGAAAGCCUUUGGUUUAUGUCCUCCAGGUGUUUUUUUUUAUUUUUAGGAAUUGUGUGAUGUGAUUUAAAAAAAUAAACCAACAUGGACCUCAACCUUUGUAUCCCCUUUCACUGGGGUUUCGCCCAACACUAUUUGCUUGAUGAAUUCUGCCAUACUGGUGUUAGUGUCUGCCUACAACAUAACAUUACAAUGUGAUGUUUCGCUGCAGCAACACCAGAAACCAGCUACCUGCAUUUUUCCUCUGGACCAAAACUAACCCUGACAACCUGCACCUCCCUUCAAGAGGUGAGUGUGCCUUGUCUUAGAGAACAAAUUGAAACAGAAAAGGUUGGAACUGGCACAGAGGGUAAAUUAAUGUAUAUUUUUGGUAUUAACAAUCUGGGGAAUACAUAACCUGUUCAACUCAUUUAUCGAAAUGUACCUGAACAAGUACAGACAACUGAAAAACUUGACUUGAGCUCUAAGUUGUCAUUUAUGUAGAUACUAACCCAUACACACUUAUCUUUCCAUUAUUUCAGAAUAUAUUUUUGUUUUAACAGUAUAAUGGUAUAAGGAGUUUACUUUGACGUUAAUACUUACCUCAUAGGAAUGUUUUGUCUUGAGGUAGAUGUAGGUUUCUCUUUGGCCCCUUGCGACAGAUCACUGAGUCACCGAGGUGAUCACUGAGACGUCAAGCCUUUGUCUUCUUUACCACAGGGCCUGUGGUGAAGUAAGCAAAGGCUCCACCCGUUUCAGAUCCAGUGGCAUGUAUUCAUGGAUGCCAAGGGAAGACAGGCUUCCUCAAAAAAUUGACCAAGGAAAAAAGAAACGAACAUACAAAGUAAUGUAUCUUUCCUCUCUCUGUGUUUCAUGUCCACCAGGUGUUUAAAAAAACAAAAACAAUUGUGUUUCAUGGCAGGAAUUAGGAAUUGUGUUUCACGGCAGUGUAGCCUAGUGGUUAGAGCAUUGGACUAGUAACCAAAAGGUUGCAAGUUCAAAUCCCUGAGCUGACAAGGUACAAAAUCUGUCGUUCUGCCCCUGAACAGGUAGUUAACCCACUGUUCCUAGGCCGUCAUUGAAAAUAAGAAUUUGUUCUUAACUGACUUGCCUAGUGAAAUAAAGGUAAAAUAAAAUAAUUUCCCUUCAAUUCGCAAGAGGCUUAAUGUAUCACGCAGGAGAAAGCAUCUGAGUGAGCGAAACAGCGGCCCUCUGUCUCUGUUAGGAGCAUCUAUCUGAUCCAAACGAGUAUGACAAUGUUGCCGCCUGUAGCAUUGAAUGCAAGGGAAGCCAGUGAGAAUUUGGUCUCCCUUGAUAAGGUAUAAAAUUAUAGCUAAACUGAGUGAGCUCAACUGAAUGGUCCUGACACACCAAAAAAAAAACGUGUCAAGACCAGCUUGGGUUUGGCGUCUUCUAAUGGUGGCUCCUUGUGAGGAGACAGUGUUGCAGAGCUGGUCCGAGUCUGCUGAGUCAGUCAAAGCCAGUUCGUACUGUCACAGCUCAGGAUAUGACCCAGAUGUAGACACAGGAGGCGGAUAGUACAGUUCUCAUAAUAUUUAUUAUACAAGGGGACAAGCCGGGGCAGGUUGAGAGCAGGCAGAGGUCAGUAAUCCAGGGCAGAGUCAAUGAGUUACAGAACGGCAGUCAGGGUCAGGGCAGGCAAAAUGGUUGGAACCGGGAAGACUAGAAAACAGAAACUAGAAAGACUCAAACGGGAAAACACGCUGGUAAGACUUGACGGGGCAAGAUGAACUGGCAACAGACAAAUAGAAAACACUGGUAUAAAUACACAGGGGAUAAUGGGGACAAAUAGAGACACCUGGUGGGGGGUGGAGACAAGCACAAGACCGGUUAAACAGAUCAGGGCAUGACAAUUGGCUACUUUUUCCAUGACUGGACAAGACAAUAAUCUGUAGGCUAUGGGCUAUUCAUGUUAAAUUGGCAACAGGAUAGAUCGGAGGCUUGAGUAAAAAGCAGAUUAUACGCAAAACACAUUCAGUCUCCGGUGCAAGUUGACUGAAGUUUGCUAGAUGGGUUUGUGUCACGUCACACAGCCAGCCAAAUCAAACAUUUUCUUUGGUUACAAGUCAGUGAACGAGAAGGAAAGCUGCAGUCCGCAGUGCUCUGUCUGACUUGACCAUCUACGGUGGAGCAAUUUACUUCAUGGAAGGACAAAACUCCACCCCACCAAAACAAGCUGACAUAGCUUUUUAAACAGUUCUUGCACUAAAAAGGGAAUUAUCAUAAUUUUCACAGUAUCUCAUAAUGUGUAAAAUUAUGUUUUCAACUGCUCUGGAGCUUUAAGGAAAACAAGUGGGAUCUGACAUCAAAAUAAGACAAUUUGGGGUCCAAGGUUCCUUGAAGGAAUUUGCAUCUCUAGGCCCUCCCCACCCCCAUAUUCUUUAAAAAAAAGAAUGUUUUUUUUGCCAAAACCCCAAUAUGGCUGCCAUAAUAUUUGAUGGAGGUUAUAUCACCUGUAAAUACAACACUUAAGUACAACACUCAUGCCCAUAAUUAAUGUUUUGGUGUAAAUCUACUUUAUUCUGAAUCUCAAUAUGGCUAACAUGAUUACACUCAAACACCUUUGCCUGCUUAGAUGUUGCCCUUGUUUAUUUUGUAUUGUGUUAUUCUGUUUUUAAAAGGGUUUCAUACGGCUGUUGGUAAAGCUAGUGUGGUGGAAAUUCAAUAUUAAGUCAAUAUUAAAUUAAUCCCUUCAGUCCUCUUAUUUACUGCUCUACAAAAAAAGCUACAUAGCCAUGGGUUCAUAGGGUUGGUUCCUGUGCAUGACUGGCUGUUUCCCAAGAAACUCCUAUCUUAACUCCCAGAACAGAUGCUGGGCCUUCUGCCAAUUGGCCUGAGGAGGAGGUCACAGUCGCCUGCACAAUCCAAGAUAGAGUGAGAGGAGAUGCAUACUGUGUACAACUCAAGGCUCUCCCUUCAAACAAUUACAAUUUCCCUUACACUCAGUUCUGUAAUAACGAAUGUUACAUUUUAAGGUAAUCAUUAUAUUAUAGCUUAAACUAUCAACGGAGGUUCUAUCAAAACUAAUUAUAUUAAAAGUAAGCAAAAUCCACGCAUAAAACCACAGACACUUUCAAACCCUUCAUUCUGGGUUUUACAAUCUAACUAGUAACUGAUCCUUAUUUCAUAGCCUUUACACUUCUAAAACCAUUGCAGUGGUGGUUUAACUUAAGAAUUUUGCUUCAUACAGUUACACACAUGCUUCCUUACACGGAGGGAAAAUGUUAUGUUUGUGUGUAUCAGAUAAUACACAGAUUGUAUGUUUAGGAAAAAUACUGUUUUUCUAAUAACCAACUCUGUUGUGUUCAUUCAAGUGACUGAUUGAUUGUACACAAUGAUUGAUUGCACAUGGGAUAAAUCCCCACUAUCACUAUAUAAGACAUUUGGCAGUAUGUCCAGAACAUUACUCUGGAAACCAAAAGGAGUAUCUCAGUUUCAAGGUCUCAGCUUUGAGAGAAGAAGCCUUGUGAGGUAUCGGUCAGUCACAUGCAGGAACCAACAUUAAUAAUGAAUAAUGUAGAUCAUGCUUAAAUGACUUGUUUGUAUAGCGCUAUAUAAGAACUGAAUGGGAACGCCCUUUUCAUAGUUUUCAUCAAGCUUUGAUUGAGUUUGUGAACCUCUCCGGCCGUGAUAAUAAAGAUUGAUUCACUUACAUUGAGUUUAAGUCCAUAGUGGUGAAUUUCCAUAACAAUUUUGGCCUCACGAAUACAAAGGUUUAAUCUUCUCAACAUGAUCCAUCAGUGAAUGUCUGAGAGGGAACACUGAUGGCGCAUUCUUGGGAAGGCAUUAAGGGAAAUUCCCAUCUCACUAAAAAAGGAUGAGGACACGCCCGUAACAGACUUUCACUGAGGAACACAAUAUCUACAAGACCUAUAAGGACAACUCAACUGAUUUCAAUAAAUCAAUUUAAAUGAAUUUGCUUAAAAACCAAACGCCAUUUGAGAGGAUAGCGAUGGAUAUAGUGGGCUCACUACCCAAAUCCGCCAGAGGGCACCAAUACAUUCUGGUCAUUCUACGUAGAUUAUGCCACCCUCUACCAAGAAGCCAUUCCCAAAAUUAUUGCCACGGAAUUAAUGCUGCGGUUCACCAGGGUAGGGGUUCCAAAGGAGAUCCUUACUGACCAGGGACCCCCUUUAUGUCCAGCCUUAUGGCGGAACUUUGUAAAUUGUAGCAGGUGAAACAGUUGAGGACAUCGGUUUACCAUCCUCAGACGGCCGGGCUGGUUGAGAGAUUCAACCGCACCCUGAAGUCAAUGCUCAGGAAGGUAAUCGAUAAGAAUGGGAAAAACUGGCAUUGCAUGUUGCCGUAUCUGAUGUUUGCCAUUCGAGAGCAUCCCCAAGCCUCGCUGGGGUUUUCACCCUUUGAGCUGGUAUAUGGGAGGCACACCCGGGGAAUCUUAGACAUCGCCCGGGAACACCAAUCCACCCUGUAUACUAGUGCUAUAGAGCACGUCACGGCAAUGCAAGACAGGAUAGCCACAGUCAUGCCCAUUGUCAGAGAGCACAUGAGACAACCACAAGAGCACCAGCAGGCUACCCUGAGGGAAUUUCAACCAGGAGAUAAGGUGUUAGUGCUGGUCCCCACGAUAGAGUGCAAACUACUAGCCACAUGGAAAGAACCAUAUGAAGUACUGGAGAGAAUAGAAGAAGUUAGGAGAUGUAACCAAAGGUUACUGGCAAAUUCCCCUGACCCCCCCAGAGCCAGAGAAAAGACAGCCUUUGCAACCCCUGACGGUUUGUUUCAAUACACCGUCAUGCCAUCACGGGAACCCUGCCAAGUGUUACGUGGGGUUAGAGGAAACAGAGUAUCUGGGAUACACCGUGGGAUGAGGGUUAAUCAAACCGCAACGUAAGAUUGUGGAGGCCAUUGGAGGAUGGCCGAAACCAGUAACUAAGAAGCAGGUUCGAGCCUUCCUAGGGUUGAAUACCGGAGGUUCAUCCCAAGUUAUGCCACAGUGGCCGCCCCACUCACCGACAUGACUAGAGCCAGAGGGCCAAACAUGGUAAAAUGGGAUGAAAAGGGCCACCAAAGCAUUUAGAACAUUACAGGAGGCUCUCUGCUAUAAUCCGGUGCUGGUGGUACCAGACUUUGAGCGAGAGUUCGUGGUUCAGACAGAUGCCUCAAAGCUCAGAGCCAUGCUAUCCCAAGAGGUAGAAGGGGUGGAACACCCCAUCCUGUUUUUAAGCAGGAAGCUGAAACCACGGGAGGCCAACUACUCAGUCAUUGAGAAAGAGGCGCUGGCAGUAAAGUGGGAUCUAGAAAGCCUGAAAUACUACCUGCUAGGGUGCCACUUCACCGUCAUCAGUGACCAUGCCCCACACACUUGGAUGCAGAGGGCAAAAGAGAAAAACGCUCGGGUGAUGUGGUGGUUUUUGAGUCUCCAACAGUUUCACUUUGACUUGGUCAAAUCUAGGGUGGGAGAUGUGUGGCAAAGAAGGGGGUCGAGUGAUAAAUGGCAGAUAUGUGAGAGCAGAACUAAUAAACUGGCUCUGCCCUCUCACUAAAAUGGCCACCCCGAAAAGAACUACAGAUCACAAAAUGGCUGACCACCAAAACUACCAUUCCCAGAGGCAAGGGGAACGCUCAGAAGGUGGGGCGACCCAAAAAUAAGGGGUCAAGACAAACCAGGAAGAGAAAGAGGAGGGGCUGAAAGGAUCUGUAAACCAUAGAGAAAGACAAUAUAUAUCGUCUGGAUUUACCGUGUAUGAGCUGGACUGUUUGGACUUACCUGUUGGCGUUUGGACCUGGACCUACCGAGAACCCGGUUUGUGUACCGAACCCUGCUAUCAUUGACCUCUCCUGAGGCCUGGGUGGACCAGGAUGGAGAAACAAACACACAGGUACUAUCCUGUUUGAAAGAACUCUCAUUCUGGGGUGAUUUUGGGGACAGUUUCCUGCUUAAUUUGUGACAAACUCUCCUAAACUUGAAGAGGUUUGUCACAAGGGGUAAUAGUCUAGUUACAGUUUUAUAUUAUACAUUUCUACUUUUGUCAUAAAGUAGUUUUCAUUGCAAGUUAAAGCUUGCUGUUAGUUAGCUGAUGUUUGAUGGAUGGCUGGAUUGCUAGCUAACAUUUAACCUACUAUAUUUGGUUAACUUUAGCUAGCUAUGACAAUCGGUUUGUAUUGCUAGUACGCUAUGGUUUGGGAUUAUAGUUAAUUGUUUAGCGAGCUAACAUUAACGUUACAUGUCUAAACAAAAAACCCCAAGUUAAAGCUUGCUGUUAGCUAGCUAACAUUCAUUUAUGUGUAUGGACUUUGUGUAACGUGACCAUAGUGCUGUUUUCUCAGAAAGCCAUUUCGCAUUGCUAGUUACAGCCUAAUGUUAGCUAGCUAACAUUGACCCUAUAUUGUUAACUUUAGCUAGCUGUGACAUUCGAUUUGUAUUGCUAGCACUCUAUGGUUUGGAAUGAUGGUUAAUUGUUUAGCUGGCUAGCUAGCUACAUGUCUAAACAAAAUACCAAGUUAAAGCUUGCUGUUAGAUAGCUAGCUGACGUUAAGAUGAACUGUGUGUAGUGAUAUCUCAGAAUGCCAUUUCACAUCUAUUGUAUAAUAAUGCUAAAAUAUUUGUAUUUGAAAUGUGUCUUUUAGAAUCAGUAGAACACGCCUGACUCUCCUCCACCAGUCAUACAAGGAUAAUGGGCUAAUGCCUCCCAUCAAAAAGAGAGCUGGCAAAAGCAAACACAGGUUUAACCUGAAGUAUGAGGACUUGCAGUGAGUAGUGAACUAAGUCAACAACUACUCAGAGGAUAAUGUAUUACCAGAACGCCACCCAGGCCACAAACACUUUGGUGGAUUUCUGCUGCCAUCCCAAGUGACAAAACAGCAGUGUGGUGUCUCUACAAGGAAUCGAUGACAACAAUUGAAGCUGUUAAGUCAGCCACGCUGAAGAAGCAAGAGCAGCAUCUCCUGCUUGUUCAGAGUGAGCAGUCUUUCUACGAGAAGAUGGUUGCUGACUGUUAGACCACCUGUCAAGACCUGCAGCUGUCUCUGGGGACCCCUACUAAACCAGCAAGCGAAGACAUUAGGCAAUUCCAUUUACUGUUUACACUUAAGUAUAUUUAAAACCAAAUACUUUAACUGAAGUAGUAUUUUACUGGCCUACUUUUACUUGAGUCAUUUUCUAUUAAGUUACUUUUACUCUGACAAUUGUAGUACUUUUUCCACCACUGGAUGUGGCUGGGGGUUGUUGCAUUUCUUUCACAUGACCCAUCAAUUUAGACAAGUGUGUCUGGGUAAGUGUCAUCUAAUAUUUAUAAAAUAUUUUCAUAAAUGUAUUUUAUUUUCUAUUUACCUGGAAUUUUUCCUUAUUCUGGACUACUACCACUUUUAGUCUAUCUUUACUACACUACUCACUGUUAGACCUCACCUGUGAAUCCUUAAAGAGAUGGGUGGGGCUGGCUUAAGAGGGUGUGAAAAUGCUGAAUGGGUGUAAAGGAGAGCUCUCCAGUAGGUACCAAAAAAUUCAAGGCCCUUUUCUCAAAAGUAAGUUUACAAGUUUAUCAACUUUCAAAGCAGAAUGACUUUCCCAUUGUUCCUCAAAAUGUAGUGUAUGAUAUACCAUUUUACUACUUACCAAUGUAAAAAAAAAUAUAUAAUAAUUAAACAUUUGCUAGACAGAAUCCAGGUGGUGAGUCACAGUCACAUAUGGAAACAAUGUUCCCUUCUGACCUCAUUUGCUCUAUUCUCUUUCUGAUAUUCUGCACAGCAACAGGGACAUGUGAUAGACAAGCCUGACUUCUCCCCUCUCUGUGCCCCAGGUGACUGAGGCCCAUAUGAGGGAGGAAGUACAGCCACGAACACCAGAGUCUGAAGGGAAACAUAAACAGUCCAACAACGGAUUUAGUAUAGGAAAGGGAAAUUGUAAGAGUAGGAUGGAGGAUCCGUGCUGGGAACCAAAAGGGCCGUGUAGUGAACGGUUCAGUACCCCCCCCCCCCCCCCAUUUAUUUUGCCAAACAGAAGACUGGACUAGACAGACAGAUGGAGAUUUCCCUGCGGAUGGGACACUGAGCACAGAAAAACUGGUAUCUGUUAUCUGUAAGAGGCCAACUUGAAGAGAAAGAUUAAAGAAAAAGAGGAAGCCUGGCUGGCCUUUCUCUGAGGGGAACCCUUUCAUAGGGCCCCCCUUUGUAUCCGCCACUGCCAAAUCCUCCACCAGCAGACGGAGAUGGUGGCCUUCCACGCCCUCAUAACCCACUUGGGGGUGGGCCUGUGCCCGGUGGAGGAACCGUGGGAUCAGGAGCUGUUGGAGGAGCUGCAGAAGGAGCUGGAGCUGAAGACAGAAAGCAACCAGCCAAGACAAGAACCAGAGAAAAUGAGCAACGAGAAAAAGAGGCAGAUGAAGAGGUAGAGGAUGAGGGGCCCCUUCUGGAACUGACAGUUUGGGCAUUUCUCUCGACACUGUCCUAGAGCUGGAGAAGGUAAAGGAGAGUGGCCAUCCCCACCUGUUGGCAUGCAUGUGGAUAACCCAUUUGAAAGAGGUGGACGAAGGGACUACUAAAUAUAGGAUGAGGCGGAAACAGAAGAAAAUUAAGAAUCAGGAGACACCUGUCAAACCUAUUGACAUACUAGUUGGUAAACAUUCCAUUUUUGGUUGGCACUGGGGCCACGGUUUCAGUGUUGAAAAUAUCUACCCUGUCUGCCCCCCCCCCCCCUCAAAGAAAACAAUGCACACAGUAUGAGCAUAUGGAAUUCCCUGAAGGAUUGUCAUUGGGAUCGAGAGAAAAUUGAAUAUUUCCUUGCCUGAUGAACUGUUACUAUGUUUGUCACCGGAAUGAUCAACAUGUUGAGGGAGAGCUGAGAGAGCAGUCCCUCUCUUCCCCGUUGCAUGCUAACUGAGAAGUGUCUGAACACCUGCAUUGUACUGCUGCUGUUCCCUCAUGCGAAGAGGACCCAACAGAGAUGGUCAAAACAAAAAGAGAAAGUUGAGAUGACCAUGAAUGGGAUAUACAGAGGAGAAGACUUCGUAGCAGCUGGAGUGCUGCUGACGGAAACUAAGACGAGUCUGUUUGAAGCCCCUGGCUCUGUUCCCCAUUGUAGUUUAUCAAAAGCUCCUGACACACAAUGGAAAGAUGUGGGUGUUUGGAUGAAGAAAGUAUUGGAAGUAACUGACAUUUACUCCUGAGGGACUGACCUGUUGCAACAUCUACAACCACUGUGAUUAUUAUUUGAUUCUGCUGGUCCUCUACGAACGUUUAAACAUCUUGAAAAACAAUCUGGCCUUAAUUUCCAUGCACUCUUAUAAUCUCCACCCAUCACAGCCAGAAGAGAGAUGGCCACCCCUCAAAGCCUGGUUCCUUUCUAGGUUUCUUCCUAGGUUCCUGCCUUUCUAGGGAGUUUUUCCUAGCCACCAUGCUGUUUGGGGUUUUAGACAGGUUUCUUUAUAGCACUUUGUGACAUCUGCUGAUGUAAAAAGGACUUUAUCAAUGCAUUUGAUUGAUUGAUUGAUUGAUUGGGUGGCCUGGAAGGGAGAGGGAAAGUGGUCAACUUCCAACAGCAACUUUCUAUUCCCCAUACUGGGCUACUGCAAUGACAAUUCCAUGAAAAUAAACAAUUGAAACCAUGCCUGUAGUAUUACAAGAAAAUUCACACAUUGAUAGGCUAAAAGAUGUACCUGAAGAACUGUGGGCUAAAUCAAAGACCGACAUUGGACACAUGAAAGAAGCUGUGCCAGUUGUGGUUAGGGCUGUUAACGCCAGACUAACGCCAUACCAGCAGUAAAUCAUGACCGCUGUAAAAUUCCACGUGACCGUUGAUUCACCGUAACUAGGCUUAACAGCCAUCAAGUCACUAAUGGCCUGGUACUCAGGGCUCUAUUGUCCUUCUAAUCAAUCUGACGUCAAUGCAAAUGCAGUCGAAAAUCGAACACUUCAUGAUUGAAUUUGAAUAAUCUGCAGAGAUAGCAAUAGCAGAAACAAACAUAUUUGAAAAAUCUGGUGUAUUGACUUACCUUGAUUUAACCAUGGCUUCCCAUAUGGACAGAAAAGAGCAGAAGAUAUGAGCAGUCCCACCAGGCCCAGUUUGUCAAUAACAGGUGGAAACUGAUUCUAAAAAAACUGUCAUGGAUAUUGUUUCAAAACCAAACACAAGCACAUUUUGAAUUCAAGUCAACUGUGAAAGGUCAGCUAAUAAACCUGGAUGAAGCCAUUUGCCGAAUAUGUGAGAGGAAAAUAUUUGUUAAACUCGCAAACACCUCGAAUCUGAGAAGCCACCUUCGAAUUAACCACCGUGCAAAAUUAGCUGAACUCAGAGGAACCUCUGCCACAACAGAUUCAACAGGUGGCAGCAAAACGUGGGGCAAGGGGCAGCUGAGUUGUUGUUUAGGCGUCCUCCUGGGUGGAGAAAUACAAAAGAGACCGCAACAAAUGGCAGAGAAUAACUGACUUUAUGACUCACUACUUGGUAAGGGAAGUGGUUCCUUUUCAUACAUUUUGAAAAAGCAAUCGUUUAAAUAAUUAUUGCUGGAAAUGGACAAUCAGUAUGAGUUACCAUCGAGAGCAUUCUUUCACGAGCGGCUGUUCCCAAUAUGUAAACUCAGCAAAAAAAGAAAUGUCCUCUCACUGUCAGCUGCAUUUAAUAAUCACUACAAAGGGUGCUUCAACAAAGUACUGACUAAAGGGUCUGAACACUUUUUUUGCAAAAAAGAUCUAAAAAAACUGUUUUUGCUUUGUCAUUAUGGGGUAUUGUGUGUAGAAUGAGGCGGAGGGGUCAGUUGAAUCCAUUGUAGAAUAAGGCUGUAAAAUAAAAUGUGGAUAUAAAAAAAGCAAGGGGUGUGAAUACUUUACGAAUUCAAAAAUAUAAACCCAACAUGCAACAUGCAACAAUCAACAAUUUUACUUACUUACAGUUCAUAAAAGGAAAUCAGUCAAUUGAAAUAAAUUCAUUAGACCUUAAUCUAUGGAUUUCACAUGACUGAACAGGGGCGCAGCCAUGGGUGGGCCUAGGAGGGCAUAGGCCCAGGCCCACGCAUAGGCCCAGGGGCUGUGCCACUGUCCAGUCAUGUGAAAUAGGCCCACCCACUCAGGUCCUAGGCCCAGCCAAUCAGAAUGAGUUUUCCCUCUCAAAAGGGCUUCAUUACAGACAGAAAUACAGUACUCCUGUUUCAUCAGCUCUCCAGGUGGCUGGUCUCAGACAAUCCCACAGGUGAAGAAGCCGGAUUUGGAGAAGCCGGAUCUGGCGUAGUCACACGUGGUCUGCGGUUGUGAGGCCAGUUGGAUGUACUGCCAAAUUCUCUAAAAUGACUUUGGAUGCAACUUAUGGUAUUAAAAUGAACAUUAAAUUCUCUGUCAACAGCUCUGGUGUACAUUCCUGCAUUCACCAUGCCAAUUGCACACUAUGUCAAAACUUCAGACAUCUGUGGCAUUGUGACACAAAACUGCACAUUUUAGUGGCCUUUUGUUGUCCCCAGCACAAGGUGUACCUGUGCUUCAUAUUUUUGUUCAAUAAAUACAGUCAAUGUUGUCAUA